ensembl:lncRNA
AGAAUCUUUCUGGGUAGCAAUUGUCUUCUUAGGCUGUUGGAAAGGGGUGAGCUAUUGCUCCAUAGUGUCUGUAUCCCCAUUAGAAGGUGCUGUUAUCACCUUGUUUUGCCAUACAUUUAGCAAAAUUUGCAGUGGAGCUCUGAUUAAUAUCAAAAACUUUUUGUUGUACUUUAGCUAGCUUCUGAAAUGAAAUUUUGACUCUCCUUCUGUUGGUAUAAAAAUGUCAGUUAGGAUUGUGAUUCUCUGAAGUAUUAUAUCAAUAAGGAUUUAUAACAUAGACCUGGACUUUUAAAUCAGCUGUCUAGCUUGAAUACAUAAAAUAGGCACUGCUGAAAGCCGGAGUAGAUUGAAGGGAACAGUUGUUUUCUGCUUUGAAGUUAGGAUGGAAUUAACUGUAUUUUCAGGAGAGGAAUCUGUUCUACAGCACUGUCCAACUGAAUUUGCACUUGUAGUUGAAAAACUUAACGUAAGGCAGAAGGGAGGGAAGGCCUUCUGAAUUUUGAAAGUAUACUUCAGUGUUUAGGAAAAAAAAUAACUGGAAAACAGUCCUGUGGCUUUUCCCCCUAAGCUACAUCACUCUGUGAUCUACUGAUCCCUACUGAACAGUUUGGAAAGCAGCAUGUGAACUUGCUUAGAGACACCUUCACAGAGCCUGAUUUUUCAUGGAGAAUGUACAUAACACUCAAAAUCAGAGCCUUCCGUGUGACUCAAGCUGAGUUCUGAGAACUAACACUACAGAAAUCUUUUUUAUUCUGACUCUUGCCCUUACUUAAUUUCCUGGUUUGAAAUAUAAAACAUACCUUGACUUAAUGCAGUCGUGUAAGCACUAUUAAAUACAAUUCAGUCAUUUCUAAAACUGUUUCAACUACUGCAAAGUAUAGAAUAUCUACAAAUACAGCAGUCUGAAAUGUAAGACAUGCUGAGAAGCUUCUUGUGUACAUCUUCCCCAUAAUCUUACAAUUUAAGCACCAGAGCAGUGCAGUCUCAGUGGGUGAAAUUGAUAGUAAUCCAU